rnacentral:rRNA from 1 species
ACGCGUAAACGAUGCAUGCUAGACGUUGGAAACCUCAGGUUUCUUGUGUCGCAGCUAACGCACUAAGCAUGCCGCCUGGGGAGUACGGCCGCAAGGUUGAAACUCAAAUGAAUUGACGGGGGCCCGCACAAGCGGUGGAGUAUGUGGUUUAAUUCGACGCAACGCGAAGAACCUUACCAACCUUUGACAUGUCCAGUAUGGACCUAGGAGACUAGGUCCUUCAGUUCGGCUGGCUGGAACACAGGUGCUGCAUGGCUGUCGUCAGCUCGUGUCGUGAGAUGUUGGGUUAAGUCCCGCAACGAGCGCAACCCUCAUCUUUAGUUGCCACCAUUCAGUUGGGCACUCUAGAGAAACCGCCGGUGAUAAGCCGGAGGAAGGCGGGGAUGACGUCAAGUCCUCAUGGCCCUUACAGGUUGGGCUACACACGUACUACAAUGGUGGUGACAGUGGGUUGCGAAGUCGCGAGACGGAGCCAAUCCCCAAAAGCCAUCUCAGUUCAGAUUGCACUCUGCAACUCGAGUGCAUGAAGUUGGAAUCGCUAGUAAUCGCAGAUCAGCACGCUGCGGUGAAUACGUUCCCGGGCCUUGUACACACCGCCCGUCACGCCAUGGGAGUUGGUUUUACCCGAAGUCGGUGAGCGAACCGCAAGGACGCAGCCGACCACGGUAAGGUUAAUGACUGGGGCGAAGUCGUAACAAGGUAGCCGUAGGGGAACCUGCGGCUGGAUCACCUCCUUUCUG